rnacentral:rRNA from 1 species
GAAUCUUCCGCAAUGGACGCAAGUCUGACGGAGCAACGCCGCGUGAGCGAGGAAGGUCUUCGGAUCGUAAAGCUCUGUUGCCCGAGACGAACGCCUUGGAGAGUGACUGCUCCAGGGGUGACGGUAUCGGAGAAGAAAGCCCCGGCUAACUACGUGCCAGCAGCCGCGGUAAUACGUAGGGGGCAAGCGUUGUCCGGAAUUAUUGGGCGUAAAGCGCGCGCAGGCGGCACUUUAAGUCCGGCGUUUAAGCCCGGGGCUCAACCCCGGUUCGCCCGGGAAACUGGAGGGCUGGAGUGCAGGAGAGGAAAGCGGAAUUCCACGUGUAGCGGUGAAAUGCGUAGAGAUGUGGAGGAACACCAGUGGCGAAGGCGGCUUUCUGGCCUGUAACUGACGCUGAGGCGCGAAAGCGUGGGGAGCAAAC